UACGUAGGGUGCAAGCGUUGUCCGGAAUUAUUGGGCGUAAAGAGCUCGUAGGCGGUCUGUCGCGUCGGCUGUGAAAUCCCGAGGCUCAACCUCGGGUCUGCAGUCGAUACGGGCAAACUAGAGUAUUGCAGGGGAGACUGGAAUUCCUGGUGUAGCGGUGAAAUGCGCAGAUAUCAGGAGGAACACCGGUGGCGAAGGCGGAUCUCUGGGCCAUUACUGACGCUGAGGCGCGAAAGCGUGGGGAGCAAACAGG
rnacentral:rRNA from 1 species